GAAGUUUUAAAUUUGAAAAUUAAAAAUAGAUUUUACCAUUGAAAAAUAUUAAAAUUAAAUCUAAAGAAUUUGAAAAAUCCAAAAUUCUUACCCGUCCCUCUCACUGUCCUUCUCACUCGCUUGCUCUGUCUCUCUCUCAUUCACCUUCCCUCUCACUCACCAGCUCUGUCUCUCUCAGUCACCCUCCCUCUCACUCACCCGAUCUGCCUCUCUCACUCACCCACUAGCGAGCUAUUUCUCUCAGGCUGUCACUCACCCACGAAACUUGUUGUCACGCCACUACCAUCGCCGACCAGCCCAUCGCCGACCAGCCCAUCGCCGACAUCGUUGUCACGCCGUUCACGUCGCCGACCAGCCUUACUUGAUGGUGUGCUUGACGAUUUUGGACCUUUUUGUCCUACCUAGGUAAUUAAAUUUAGUAUGUUGAGGAAAGUUUUGAUUUAUUGUAUUUAUAUUUUAAAAUUAUUAGAAAUAAGUUAUUUGAAAUGUAGAUUUUGUUUGAAUUAUAUAUGAUUAAUACAAUUUAUUUUUCAUGGUAUUACAAAGAAAAGGUUGGGAAGAAAUAUAAAAAGAAAAUUAAGGUAAAAUUAAACUACUUAGUUAAUUAUUCUACAAUUAAUUUAAUUUUAAUUUAUCUUUUUAUGGAUUUGCAGGAUUCAAAUGUACAAACAUUCGUUAUCUUCUGAGGUGGAUAUUGUAGUCCCAACGCAGGAGAGCAAUAAGGAUCCAGUAAAUUUUAUGUUCUUUGAUGUAAUACAAUUUAUUAUUUUAAUUUUUAAUGGCCACUAAAUCUGCCAUUAUUAUAUUUUAAAUGGUCACUAAAUAAUGGUCAUUAUUUAGGAACCUGUGUUCACAUACCAAUCAUAAGGAUGUGAAAUUUAUCCAUCGUUUCCUUUUUAUUCUUACAUUGUAAGUUAUAAUCCAUUUUUUAUAUUUAUGCCUAGUUAAUUUUGCA
rnacentral:lncRNA from 1 species